GGCGUAGCUCAGUGGUUAGAGCAGUCGGCUCAUAACCGAUUGGUCACUGGUUCAAACCCAGUCG
rnacentral:tRNA from 1 species